rnacentral:rRNA from 1 species
UACGGAGGGGGCUAGCGUUGUCCGAAGUUACUGGGCGUAAAGCGCGCGUAGGCGGGUUGGUAAGUCCGCUGUGAAAGCCCGGAGCUCAACUCCGGAGGGUCGGUGGAUACUGCCAGUCUUGAAGGUGCUAGGGGGAGAUGGAAUUACCGGUGUAGCGGUGGAAUGCGUAGAUAUCGGUAGGAACACCAGUGGCGAAGGCGGUCUCCUGGGGCAUUCUUGACGCUGAGGCGCGAAAGCUGGGGGAGCGAACGGG